GAACGGGAAAGGGGAGCAAUCCCUGAGUAAAGUGGCGCACGGGUGAGUAACACGUGACUAACCUACCCUGGAGUGGGGGAUAACUGAGGGAAACCUUAGCUAAUACCGCAUAACACCUACGGGUCAAAGGAGCAAUUCGCUUCAGGAGGGGGUCGCGGCCGAUUAAUUAGUUGGCGGGGUAAUGGCCCACCAAGACGAUGAUCGGUAUCCGGCCUGAGAGGGCGCACGGACACACUGGAACUGAAACACGGUCCAGACUCCUACGGGAGGCAGCGGUGGGGAAUUUUGCGCAAUGGGGGAAACCCUGACGCAGCAACGCCGCGUGGAGGAUGAGGUCCUUCGGGACGUAAACUCCUUUCGAUCGGGACGAUUAUGACGGUACCGGAAGAAGAAGCCCCGGCUAACUUCGUGCCAGCAGCCGCGGUAAUACGAGGGGGGCGAGCGUUGUUCGGAAUUAUUGGGCGUAAAGGGUGCGUAGGCGGUUUGGUAAGUCUUAUGUGAAAUCUAUGGGCUCAACUCAUAGACUGCAUGAGAAACUGCCGGGCUUGAGUGUGGGGGAGGUGAGUGGAAUUUCCGGUGUAGCGGUGAAAUGCGUAGAUAUCGGAAGGAACACCUGUGGCGAAAGCGGCUCACUGGACCACAACUGACGCUGAUGCACGAAAGCUAGGGGA
rnacentral:rRNA from 1 species